UACGGAGGGUGCGAGCGUUGUCCGGAAUCAUUGGGCGUAAAGGGCGCGUAGGUGGCGGCGUCAGCGUGCGGUGAAAGCUCGGGGCUCAACCCCGAGUCGGCCGUGCGAACUGGGGGGCUGGAGCACUGUAGAGGCAGGCGGAAUUCCGGGUGUAGCGGUGGAAUGCGUAGAGAUCCGGAAGAACACCGGUGGCGAAGGCGGCCUGCUGGGCAGUUGCUGACACUGAGGCGCGACAGCGUGGGGAGCAAACAGG
rnacentral:rRNA from 1 species